GACGAACGCUGGCGGCGUGCUUAACACAUGCAAGUCGAACGGAAAGGCCCUGCUUUUGUGGGGUGCUCGAGUGGCGAACGGGUGAGUAACACGUGAGUAACCUGCCCUUGACUUUGGGAUAACUUCAGGAAACUGGGGCUAAUACCGGAUAGGAGCUCCUGCUGCAUGGUGGGGGUUGGAAAGUUUCGGCGGUUGGGGAUGGACUCGCGUCUUAUCAGCUUGUUGGUGGGGUAGUGGCUUACCAAGGCUUUGACGGGUAGCCGGCCUGAGAGGGUGACCGGCCAAAUUGGGACUGAGAUACGGCCCAGACUACUACGGGAGGCAGCAGUGGGGAAUAUUGCACAAUGGGCGGAAGCCUGAUGCAGCAACGCCGCGUGCGGGAUGACGGCCUUCGGGUUGUAAACCGCUUUCGCCUGUGACGAAGCGUGAGUGACGGUAAUGGGUAAAGAAGCACCGGCUAACUACGUG
rnacentral:rRNA from 1 species